rnacentral:rRNA from 1 species
UUGUGCCAGCAGCCGCGGUAAUUCCAGCUCCAAUAGCGUAUAUUAAAGUUGUUGUGGUUAAAAAGCUCGUAGUUGGAUCUCAACAGCCUUGAAGCGGUUAACUUUGUAGUUUUACUGCUUUAUAGGCUGUGCUUUUGCUGGAGGUUUAGGGGUGCUCUUGAUCGAGUGUCUCUGGAUGCCAGCAGGUUUACUUUGAAAAAAUUAGAGUGCUCAAAGCAGGCUAAAAUGCCUGAAUAUUCGUGCAUGGAAUAAUAGAAUAGGAUGUCGAUCCUAUUUUGUUGGUUUUCGGGACUCGACAUAAUGAUAAAUAGGGACAGUCGGGGGCAUUUGUAUUCAAACGACAGAGGUGAAAUUCUUGGACCGUUUGAAGACAAACUACUGCGAAAGCAUUUGCCAAGAAUGUUUUCAUUAAUCAAGAACGAAAGUUAGAGGUUCGAAGGCGAUUAGAUACCGCCCUAGUUCUAACCAUAAACGAUGCCAGCUAGCGAUCUGCCUGCGUUUUUACUGUAGACUGGGCAGGAAGCUUCCGGGAAACCAAAGCAUUUGGGUUCCAGGGGAAGUAUGGUUGCAAAGCUGAAACUUAAAGGAAUUGACGGAAGGGCACCACCAGGAGUGGAGCCUGUGGCUUAAUUUGACUCAACACGGGAAAUCUCACCAGGCCCGGACACUGGAAGGAUUGACAGAUUGAUAGCUCUUUCUUGAUUCGGUGGGUGGUGGUGCAUGGCCGUUCUUAGUUGGUGGAGUGAUUUGUCUGGUUAAUUCCGAUAACGAACGAGACUCUGUCCUGCUAAAUAGUUUCUACUUCUCUUUUGAGUAGAAAUUUCUUCUUAGAGGGACUGGUGACUCUUAGUCACACGAGAUUGAGCAAUAACAGGUCUGUGAU